GAAGAAGAAGAAGAAGAAGAAAGCUAACAGAAAGCAGAGACUUGUACUGAAACAGGAUCUUCCUCACCUUUACCCUACAACAGAAAUAGAAAUUCUUAUACACUAAUAUCUUUGGUAAAACCAUGGCUAAUAGGCAAGAAAAAAAUUUUAAAGUGCAACAGAAUCUUCAACAUUGUUUACUGACAACUGCUGAGCUGACAUAGUGGCUAACGUUUUGUGGUCCAAAGGGGCUAACAUUUUAUGGUCCAAAGGAGCAAGGUUUUAGUUGCUGGAAUCAUGUUUUUUAGUGCACUAAAAUCAAGAUGCAUGGGUUAGUUUUUAUUGCAGAUAUAUGUACACGAGUGAAGAAAAUCAUAAUGCAAAAUUUUCAUCUUUGAUCAUAAUCUAUUUUUCAUUCACAAGCUUUAUUUUGUCCCUUUGGUUUCAAUGUUCUCCAUGCAACCUGAAGACUAAAUGUUGUGAGAUUUGUUUGGCCAUUUACACAAGAUUUAAUUGUUUACGCUUGUGCUUCAUGUUAUUCAGCAUUAUGCACCUUUCCCUGGUUUGUUAUUGGAGUGUUAACUAAACUACAAAUAUUUAAAUUUUCCUCUUUGUACAGGCUAGGCGGAUGAUGGUCAAG
rnacentral:misc_RNA from 1 species